rnacentral:rRNA from 1 species
CCUUGACAUCCAGAGANUCUGUUAGAGAUAGUAGAGUGCCUUCGGGAACUCUGAGACAGGUGCUGCAUGGCUGUCGUCAGCUCGUGUUGUGAAAUGUUGGGUUAAGUCCCGCAACGAGCGCAACCCUUAUCCUUAGUUGCCAGCACGUAAUGGUGGGAACUCUAGGGAGACUGCCGGUGAUAAACCGGAGGAAGGUGGGGACGACGUCAAGUCAUCAUGGCCCUUACGGGAUGGGCUACACACGUGCUACAAUGGCAAAUACAAAGGGUUGCUAACCUGCGAGGGUAUGCGAAUCUCAUAAAGUUUGUCGUAGUCCGGAUCGGAGUCUGCAACUCGACUCCGUGAAGUUGGAAUCGCUAGUAAUCGUGGAUCAGAAUGCCACGGUGAAUACGUUCCCGGGCCUUGUACACACCGCCCGUCACACCAUGGGAGUGGGCUGCACCAGAAGUCAUUAGCUUAACCUUUCGGGGAUGGCGAUGACCACGGUGUGGUUCAUGACUGGGGUGAAGUCGUAACAAGGUAACCUUAAUWAAAA